rnacentral:rRNA from 1 species
UGUAAGCGUAUACCAAAGUUGUUGCAGUUAAAACGCUCGUAGUCGGAAUUUGGCAGUUCCGGAUGUGUGCACGUCGUGUGCGCACUUCGCGGGGAUUGCUUUUGUGGUCUUGCGUAGGAUGAGGCACUUUUAUUAGUGAACGUCCUCACGCAACCACUUUUUACUGUGAGAAAAUCAGAGUGCUCAAAGCAGGCAUUUGCCGUGAAUGUAUUAGCAUGAAAUAAUAGAAUAGGACUUGGUUCUAUUUUGUUGGUUUGUUGGGACUGAGUAAUGAUUAAGAGGGACAGUUGGGGGCAUUUGUAUUUCGGUGCUAGAGGUGAAAUUCUUAGAUUACCGAAAGACAAACUGCUGCGAAAGCGUCUGCCAAGGAUGUUUUCAUUGA